AGCCCCUUAUCAGGAAGAGCUGAACCUCCAUCAGUGUUGCCAGGGUUCAUCGUUGCUAACUUGUGGCGGUCAUAAAGAUUUCGAAGAAAAUAAACAGAGUCUGGAACAAUACAAGAGAUGAAUGAAGGCCUGCAGCCAACCUCAUGUCCAGGUGAAUGAAACUGUGACCUACAGCAUCUACUACGUUUGUCUGCACAAAGGAUAGUAAACAUGUCAUUUUUUGUCACGACGCUGUUUGAUAGUCAAAUCAAAGGUCAAUAAGUGAAGGUAGAUUUUCUUGACUUUGUAUACUAAUGUUUAUUUUUAGGCAUUUUCCUGAAGGCAGAUUUUCACAAGCUUGUAUUAUUUAAGUCAUUACUCACCUGCUCUUGCAUGUACAAAAUGCGUCCAACACAGUUUUCACACUUGCAUCCAAUGAGAGUUUGGGCCCCUCAUUCUUCCUGUAGUUGAGAAAGACUUGGGCUUUAACGCUGAUGUUUCCCGCAAAUAACCUUACAGACCUGAUGUCUGACUCUUUAGAGAGUUUUCUGGCCUGUCCUCUUUGCCUCAUUGUUUGCUGAUAAAGCAAACAUGUCUUCAAAAAUGUCUUGGGCAAUGCAUGGAGUUGUUCUUCUUCUUGUUGCUUUUUAUUGCUACUAAAAGUUGGCAAAAAAAAACUUUUAGUAGCAUUACCACCACCUACUGGUAUGGAGUGUGGUUCUUGAACUAAUUCAUAUUAUUUAAAUGUAUAUACAAGGCAUUGAGUUUCACUACUUCUGACAUUUUCAGACUGUUUGUUUGUAGGAGGUUUGAUCUACUUCCGCAUGAAGGCGGAACCGGCGCCAUGUUAGUUGGAAACAGAAACUAGAAAUUUGUAAUUUAGAACUCCUGCUGGACAGAGAUGGAAUUACACAUCAUCUUAAGGACAAAAACAAAAUCUGUAAGAAGGCCAUUCGUUUCUCUUUCAUUCUUUAUUACAAGCAGAAUGACAAUACAGUGCUUUGUCCUCAUUUGCUACAGACAGGCUGGCAAAAAGUCAACAUGUGAACUUUUAAAAUCUUUAUCCAAAAACAAAACAAAAAACAAGUAAUUUGUCAAAAACUGUUUAGUAA